AUCCUUUGACUCUGUGCUAAUUACAUUCUGUAUCUGGUGCUCACCUUUACAGCACUCUCUUCACAGACCACCCCUCAUAGUUUUUUUCUCUUUUUGCAUUAUAUAGAGAAUGCCACACAUAAAAGACAGUGGACCUGACCCGCCUGCCAGAUCCAAUUACUGGGCUACCUGAUGCCAGCCUAUGACUGUUUCUGAAACAAUAUUCUUCCUGGAAGGGGAAUCUGGACUUCAAGCACACAGUUCUCUGAAGCAUGAGCCUACUGAGUUCUCCCCUCUGCCGGCUGAGGAUUAAAGAUACUUGUCCAUUUC